UACGUAGGGGGCAAGCGUUGUCCGGAAUCAUUGGGCGUAAAGAGCGUGUAGGCGGCUCGGUAAGUCCGCUGUGAAAGUCCAGGGCUCAACCCUGGAAUGCCGGUGGAAACUGUCGAGCUAGAGUCCGGAAGAGGCGAGUGGAAUUCCUGGUGUAGCGGUGAAAUGCGCAGAUAUCAGGAGGAACACCGGUGGCGAAGGCGGUUCUCUGGGCCUUACCUGACGCUGAGGAGCGAAAGCGUGGGGAGCAAACAGG
rnacentral:rRNA from 1 species